rnacentral:rRNA from 1 species
CCUACGGGAGGCAGCAGUGAGGAAUAGUGGUCAAUGGACGAGAGUCUGAACCAGCCAAGUAGCGUGAAGGAUGACUGCCCUAUGGGUUGUAAACUUCUUUUAUAAAGGAAUAAAACGAGGCACGUGUGCAUUUUUGCAUGUACUUUAUGAAUAAGGAGCGGAUAACUCCGUGCCAGCAGCCGCGGUAAUACGGAGGAUCCGAGCGUGAUCCGGCUUUAUUGGGUUUAAAGGGAGCGUAGAUGGGUUGUUAAGUCAGUUGUGAAAGUUUUCGGCUCAACCGUAAAAUUGCAAUUGAUUCUGGCAGUCUUGCGUACAGUUGAGGUAGGCGGCAUUCGUGUUGUAGCGGUGA